rnacentral:rRNA from 1 species
AACGUAGGUGGCGAGCGUUAUCCGGAUUUACUGGGCGUAAAGGGUGUGCAGGCGGGCUGUUAAGUGGUGUAUGAAAUCGUCCGGCUCAACCGGGCGAGGUUAUGCCAGACUGGCAGUCUAGAGAGCGAGAGAGGGACGUGGAAUUCCGGGUGUAGUGGUGAAAUGCGUAGAGAUCCGGAGGAACCCCAGAGGCGAAGGCGGCAUCCUGGACCGAUACUGACACUGAGGAGCGAAAGCCAGGGGAGCAAACGGG